ACCCACUUCCGUGGGGAUUAGUGGCGAACGGGUGAGUGACACGUGGGCAAUCUGCCCUGCACUCUGGGGGAAGCCCUGGAAACGGGGUCUAAUACCGGAUACUGAUUGUCUUGGGCAUCCUUGAUGAUCGAAAGCUCCGGCGGUGCUGAUGAGCCCGCGGCCUAUCAGCUUGUUGGUGAGGUAACGGCUCACCAAGGCGACGACGGGUAGCCGGCCUGAGAGGGCGACCGGCCACACUGGGACUGAGACACGGCCCAGACUCCUACGGGAGGCAGCAGUGGGGAAUAUUGCACAAUGGGCGAAAGCCUGAUGCAGCGACGCCGCGUGAGGGAUGACGGCCUUCGGGUUGUAAACCUCUUUUGCAGGGAAGAAGCGAAAGUGACGGUACCUGCAGAAGAAGCGCCGGCUAACUACGUGCCAGCCCCCGCGGUAAUACGUAGGGCGCACGCGUUGUCCGGAAUUAUUGGGCGUAAAGAGCUCGUAGGCGGCUUGUCACGGCGGUCGUGAAAGCCCGGGGCUUAACCCCGGGUCUGCAGUCGAUACGGGCAGGCUAGAGUUCGGUAGGGGAGAUCGGAAUUCCUGGUGUAGCGGUGAAAUGCCCACGAUGUCAUGAGGA
rnacentral:rRNA from 1 species